rnacentral:lncRNA from 1 species
UUCUCUCUUGUAGUUUUGGUGCUACCCAGCCAAUGACAUCACAAAGUUCAUUGACCUUCGAGAUAAUUUUUCAAAUUUUUUUUCCAAGAUGGCGGCGAAACACAAAGUUUGCAUGCAUUUUACUCGUAGACUAAAAUGUUCGAGAAGGAAAUGAUAAUAUUUUCAUAGUUCGGUUGUCAAGUAGGAUUGAAAUAGCCAAUAAAAAUUUUCGUUGCCAUUGUCCUUUAAGAGAGCCAGAGCGGGAAAGUAAACACAUAUUUUGUAAGAAACAACAAUGCUGAUUGGUCAAAA